UCUUUUGUAUAAACUGUUAAAAAAAUUAAAAAGCCCUUUUAUUUUCAUUACCUAAACAUCACCCCUACCCCGUGCACUGUCCUCACACAAUUCUGGAGCCACCACUGCUGUCUCUCUAGGCCACUGGGGGUGGAGCUUCCUGUUAGGGACAGGACAGAGCUCAGCUGUGACUGGUGCUCAGGGAGUCAAGUGGAACCUGUUGCCUGGGAGACCAAGCUUGUCUGGCCCAAGACCUGACACCUGCAGAGCAGGGAGAAGACCCAGCAGCCAGGCCAGCAGCCAUGCAAAGGGGACUGGGGGCUCUGCUGGGGCUUCUGUGGGUGCAGCUUUGCUGGGUGAGAGGGCAGCAGGUGGAGCAGAGUCCUUCAGCCCUGAGGCUCCAGGAGGGAACCAGCACUACCCUGAUGUGCAAAUUUUCCACCACCAUGAACAAAGUGCAGUGGUUCAGACAGAAACCUGAUGGUGACCUCAUCAAUCUGUUUUUCCUGACUCAGGGGACAAAGCAGGAGGGAAGGUUAAACGCAACAGCAGAUGCUAAGGAGCGCUCCAGCACCCUGCACAUCUCCAUCUCCCAGCUGGAAGAUUCAGGCACCUACCUCUGUGCAGCAGAGGCACAGUGCUCCCAGGGGACCUGCAGCCUGUCCCUAAACUGCAGCUGCACCUGCAGCCACAGCCUCUGCCUCAGGGAGGCUUGCACAGCAGUGUCUGCACACUUUGGGCAUCCUGAUUCACAUCAUAGCAUUGUUACUUCUGCUAAUAGGAGACAUCUCCGCAUUGCCAUCCCAUUUGGAUGGGGCCCUUUUCCUCCCAGAAACACUUUGCAGGGAAAAUUUCUAAUAAUUAAGCUUAGAGCAAUUGAUAAGGAUAUCAAAACCCAAAGUACUGUUAAAACAGAUCCCCUGGCAGAGCUUAUAAAUGACAUCUAAAUUACUGUGAUGAAAAAGACUUGAAAAACAAUGAUUGUCAACAAAGAAAUGACUCAGUGUUUUCCAGUUACUUGCAGAUUGUUCAGUUUUGCAGGAAAGGGAAUGAGAAGCUGUGACAUUGUGUGUAUGUGGGAGUGUGUGUGGAUAAGAGGUUGGAGCAUGUGCAUGAGCAGAGGAGAGAUGUAAAGGCUUGGUACAGGAGCAUAUGCAAGCUCUUAAAUAUAAGGACAGUUGCCUGAUGGAGUACAGUACUAUUUUCAUGUGAAAUUUCAGAUAAGCCAAGCAUUUGCACAGAAAAUAUUUUUUAAAUUACUUUUUCUUAUAAUUGAGGAUAUAGCAAUUGGAUACAUAAACAAGUGUUUUGAACUAUACACAAAUCAUAACACCUCUGUCAGUUUAUCAAAUCUCCACAAAUAACAGAAAAUGUCAAAGAAACAUUUAAAUGCUGAUAUAUAAAUUUACAUUUCAAAUUAAAUUCAGACUGACAAGAAAAUAAUUGUUUUGAGGAGUAAAAUUGUCUUAGAAAAAUUGUUCCUCUAGAAACAUCAACAUUAGACUUACUCAAAUUCAGAUUUCAUACUAAUUUAUCAUUUAAUUAUGUGAAUACAGUCACAGCUUAUAAAAUACUCUUUAGAGCUCUAGUGUCUGUUGUAUUGUUUCUCAAAAUCAGAAAUUUCAGAAAUUGAGUUGCAAUCUUCUGUUUACCAAGACUAUCUAAUGUGCUUUCAA